GGUGGAAUGAUGAGAGCUGUUGUCCAUUAACAUCUGUCAACCCAAAGUUGGGAACCCCUACUACAGUUUAUUACAACAGCUUUUGUCAUCCGUGAUUUAACUGAAGACAUCCUCCACCACGUCCGUCAAUCCGAUCAGAUCUGGGAAGUAUAUUUACUUCGCAGCACACAAGGACAGUAGCCACCAGCACCGAGGACAAGCCCUGUGUCGCGUCGUCACUGCGUGUGCAGUUUGUUUCUAAAGCAGAGAGAUUUAUUUCCACUUUUGGAAGAAGCCAUCAAUUGUGGGCGGCUUAAAUCCCUGCACUUGCAGAAUCCCUGCACGUCUCAUUAGUGGGGAAACAAGAUACGACAACAACGGCAUUGAAUAUUCACAUACCAUUUGGAUUCACUCUGGGAAGGAGAAAAAAGCCUUAACCAAGGGGGAAUGGAGACG